rnacentral:rRNA from 1 species
AGUGAACGCUGGCGGUAGGCCUAACACAUGCAAGUCGAACGGCAGCACAGUAAGAGCUUGCUCUUACGGGUGGCGAGUGGCGGACGGGUGAGGAAUACAUCGGAAUCUACUUUUUCGUGGGGGAUAACGUAGGGAAACUUACGCUAAUACCGCAUACGACCUACGGGUGAAAGCAGGGGAUCUUCGGACCUUGCGCGAUUGAAUGAGCCGAUGUCGGAUUAGCUAGUUGGCGGGGUAAAGGCCACCAAGGCGACGAUCCGUAGCUGGUCUGAGAGGAUGAUCAGCCACACUGGAACUGAGACACGGUCCAGACUCCUACGGGAGGCAGCAGUGGGGAAUAUUGGACAAUGGGCGCAAGCCUGAUCCAGCCAUACCGCGUGGGUGAAGAAGGCCUUCGGGCUGUAAAGCCCUUUUGUUGGGAAAGAAAAGCAGCAGGUUAAUACCCCGCUGUUCUGACGGUACCCAAAGAAUAAGCACCGGCUAACUUCGUG